rnacentral:lncRNA from 1 species
ACAGGUAACCGAGUCCAGUCCAAUUCGCAAUGAACCUUGGUACUUGACCGGUCAAACUGUUCCCAGCUACGCUGAACCACCCCAAUCCCCUAAAGUUGGCAUAAUUUCCCGGCAGUCGUCCAAUCAAAUUGUUGGAGCUCAACCCUAAAUAACCAAGAGAUCCCAAUCUUCCAAGUUCUGGUGGAAGCUGACCAAUGAGUUCAUUGAAGUCCAGGUACAUCGAAUGGAGAUGAGAGAGGUUGCCCAAUUCUUUAGGGAUUUGACCUGAUAACAUAUUAUAC